rnacentral:rRNA from 1 species
UACAUGGGGUGCAAACGUUGCUCGGAAUUAUUGGGCGUAAAGCGCACGUAGGCGGUUAUUCAAGUCGGAUGUGAAAGCCCUUGGCUCAACCGAGGAAGUGCACCCGAAACUGGAUAGCUAGAGUACGAAAGAGGGUCGCGGAAUUCCCGGUGUAGAGGUGAAAUUCGUAGAUAUCGGGAGGAACACCGGUGGCGAAGGCGGCGACCUGGGUCGAUACUGACGCUGAGGUGCGAAAGCGUGGGGAGCAAACAGG